rnacentral:rRNA from 1 species
UACGUAGGGUGCGAGCGUUGUCCGGAAUUACUGGGCGUAAAGAGCUCGUAGGUGGUUUGUCGCGUUGUUCGUGAAAACUCACAACUCAAUUGUGGGCGUGCGGGCGAUACGGGCAGACUGGAGUACUGCAGGGGAGACUGGAAUUCCUGGUGUAGCGGUGGAAUGCGCAGAUAUCAGGAGGAACACCGGUGGCGAAGGCGGGUCUCUGGGCCAUAACUGACGCUGAGGAGCGAAAGCGUGGGGAGCGAACAGG